rnacentral:rRNA from 1 species
CAGCCGCCGCGGGAAUACGAAGGUCCCGAGCGUUGUUCGGAAUCACUGGGCGUAAAGGGAGCGUAGGCGGCGUGGUAAGUCAGAUGUGAAAUCCCGGGGCUCAACCCCGGAACUGCAUCCGAUACUGCCGUGCUAGAGGAUUGGAGAGGUAGCUGGAAUUCUUGGUGUAGCAGUGAAAUGCGUGGAGAUCAAGAGGAACACUCGUGGCGAAAGCGAGCUACUGGACAAUAUCUGACGCUGAGGCUCGAAGGCCAGGGUAGCGAAAGGGAUUAGAUACCCCCGUAGUCCCUGUCUCUUAUAC